GAUCUAACCUGCUCAUGAUUAUUAUUAAAUAGCCGCAGUAUUUUGACUGUGCAAAGGUAGCAUAAUCAUUUGUCUUUUAAUUGGAGACUGGCAUGAAUGGUUUGAUGAGAAAUAUUCUUUCUUUAUUUUAUAAUUGGAAUUUAGCUUUUAAGUUAAAAUACUUAAAUUUUAUUAAAAGACGAGAAGACCCUAUAGAACUUUAUUAUUAUUUUAUAUAGAAAUUUUAGGUUUUAUUAUUUAUUUAUAUAAAUGGGAUUAUUGUGUUGGGGUGACAAAAAAAAAUUAAUAACUUUUUUUAAAAAUGGCAUUUAUUUAUGUUUUUUUGAUCCAGAUUUUUUGAUUAAAAGAUUAAGUUACCUUAGGGAUAACAGCGUUAUUAUUUUAGAGAGUUCUUAUCAAUAAAAUAGUUUGCGACCUCGAUGUUGGAUUAAAAUAGAUUUUAGGUGUAGCAUUUAAUAA
rnacentral:rRNA from 1 species